AAGGGAGUACAAAGUUUAGGUACACGAGCAAUGAAGCUGCUUGACAAACUAAUAACAAUUGGAGUUGUCUCCCGUACUCUUUUUGGCUGUCACAAGUCUUCUAUUUUCUUCUUUCAAGUAAUUGAUGGGUCAAGCAAGAUAUAUAGCAGUGUGUACGUUCUCUUUGGAUCCCUUGUCUCUAUCUUACAUUACAUAUAUGCGUCUCUAAACUAGUGUCCAUUAAAGCGACCACUGGAAGAGCGAGAAAA